GUGUCAUGUGCGGACUCCUUCCACCUCGAGGCUAUGGGUGGGGAGGUGAUCUACCUAUCGGUGAAGACUUCUUCCAGAUGAGGGAAAAGGAGAAGUUUGAGAAGGAAGCUGAGAGGCAGAAAGAUCAAGGAAAUGUGGAAGACAAGAGCCAAGUCUAGGCAAAAGAGAAGAAAUUAUUGAAAGUUCCUUGCUUGCUAUCAGGCCCUCAUCAAGUAAAGAUGGUUAUACGGUUAACCAGAAGGUUGACCCAGAAACGCCACAUAUAAAGGAGGCCACCAUGUCAGAUGUAUCACCAACUAAAGUAACCAAACACAACAAUGGGGAUCUGCUAUAUAUGAAGGAAUUAUAUCAUGUGCUUCCCAUGGAUUAUGUGACAAUAGCCAAACUUCAAUGAAAG